AGAGUUUGAUCCUGGCUCAGGAUGAACGCUAGCUACAGGCUUAACACAUGCAAGUCGAGGGGAAACGACAUCGAAAGCUUGCUUUUGAUGGGCGUCGACCGGCGCACGGGUGAGUAACGCGUAUCCAACCUGCCCACCACUUGGGGAUAACCUUGCGAAAGUAAGACUAAUACCCAAUGACGUCUCUAGAAGACAUCUGAAAGAGAUUAAAGAUUUAUCGGUGAUGGAUGGGGAUGCGUCUGAUUAGCUUGUUGGCGGGGUAACGGCCCGCCAAGGCUACGAUCAGUAGGGGUUCUGAGAGGAACGGUCCCCCACAUUGGAACUGAGACACGUCCGAACUACCGUACGGAGGCGAG
rnacentral:rRNA from 1 species